GUCACCAUAUAUCUCACGUUCAUACACCUCCCUACGAGUUUGUAAUUAACCGGACAGAGAAAGACAGUGGAGAGUGAGAGAGAGUUAUAUGCCAAGCACAUGCGCUCUCUCUCCCCUCCCCUUCUUCUUUCUUACUCCUUAUAACAGUGCACACGGGUUUAUGGAUGUAUAGUGGAUGCGAGCCGCCAGAGACACACUUAUUGUACGUCUGUAUGGCUGGCCCUUGAAUCUUCACUAAUGACCCUCCCCAGGAG
rnacentral:misc_RNA from 1 species